GUCCUGGGAUGGUGAUGGGGGUCCUGUCAGGGACUGUGGGAGUCGGAGAACACAGGAGGGGUCUGAGGCAUAAAGGGAGGUCUGAGCCUCCCUCAAAUCGGAGGGAUCCUUGAAGAACUGUGGGGGACGUGGGGUGAUGCUGGGGACUGUGGGGCUCUGCGAGGUCCCAGGUUGGAGGAGGGGGAGGUGUACCGGGUCAGAGAAAGUACUUGAGGAGCUAUGUGGGGGAGGUUGUGGGGGAUAUAGAAUGGAUAUGACAACACAGCCUGCAGGAGCAGAAUGCUGUUCAGGAGAAGACAAGAUGUGGGCUGCAAGAGGGACGCAGGAGUAUGGGGUGCUAUGGGAGGAUGUGGGGAGCAGUUUGAGGUAAAAAAAAAAAAAAGGAGGAAGGGGGCAGCGGUGUAGGAGGGGUUUCAUUUCUUCCUGAGAGGGGACUGGGGGUCCAUGCAGCCCAAAGGUGGGGCCCUGAGCCGUAACCCCACAUGAGCCUUAAGCCAAGAUGAUCUCAUCACCCUGUAUGUGCAUGACACCAUGGCUAUAUGUGACCCACAGCCCUGGGUGAACCACACCCCCACAAGACCCUGUAACUCCCUGACCCUUCCUUCCCCCAACACGCUGCGACCCGAUGCCAUGUGGCCCCAGAACUCUGGGAUCCCUGCCCCCACCUCAUCCCAACAAACCCAACUCAACCAACCCAACGGGAGCAGAAGGAACUCACUGAGGAGAGUGAAGUAACGCCACAGCAAUCAGGAAGGAGCUUUGCUGCUGCACAAAGAGCUGUGCCUGAUGGAAAAUCAGGGAUGAGAGCGUUUCUUGCACACCCUGCACGCACGUGGGGGGAUGUGCUAGGACGUGGGGAAGCCUUACAGGGUGGUGGGGCAGUUAAAGGACACCUAUGGGAGGGCGACAGGAGCACUUUGGGGCAGCUAUGAAGCAGAGCAACACCUAGGAGCUGCCUUGACCCAACACACAGCUUGUGGUGGAACUGCUGCUGGCCAUGGGCCGUGGGCAGUGAUGGCGCUGCUCUAGGAUGGCUCUGGGGCUGCUAUGGUUCAUACUCAUGGAAUCUCUUCCUUAGCCCUCCACUAACCCCUGCACCCCCAUCUUACCCCCCAAGAUGAGGGUCAGGGGCAGAUGUAGAGUGCUAUUCUACAGCGGCCCCAGAGCCACCCUAGAGUACUUCCUGACCUAGCCAGUAACAGACCCACCACUGCCCUCAGCCUCAUAUGGGCUUACGGUGCUCACACGGUUAGGGGUCAUGUGGAGCCUUGGGCUCAUGCAGAGUUAUAUGGGGUUCUGGGCUCACGUGGGGUUAUGGAUCAGGGCUCCACCUUUGGGCCAAAGGGAACCCCAAUCCCCUCCCAGGAAGAAAUCAACCAGUGCACUCCAACACCACCGCACAUCCUCCAUUCUCACCCCAAACCGCUCCCCACGUGCCCCCACAACCCCUACGUUCCUGGACCCACAGUGCCCCUCACAUCCCUUUCACCCACAGCUGUGCCCUGCACCUGCUCCAGCCCCGCAUUCCUCUCCUGCAGCAGCCACCCCUGCCCCAGCACCCUAUGGCUGUACAAGAGCUUGAUGGGGAUGGGGUUGAGGAGGGCCCUCAGGUGGGCUAUGGGGUUCCUGGGAUGGUGACAGGGGUCCUGUCAGGGACUGUGGGAAUCGGUGAGAUCCCGGGGUUGGGGUCUUGGAGGUGGGAAAGGAGGCCAGAGAGGGCGGGAUGGAAAUGCCGCUGACCAAUCAGAGACCUGCAGGGGCCGGCUCUGUGCUGGGAGCGCAGCGGACUCCCGGAAAGCAGCGGCAGCGGCGGGAAGGGGCUCCAAGGAGCAAAGAAUGGCGGCGAGGCGCUGCCGGGAGCAGCAGAAGGCAGCGAGGAGAAGCCGUGAAGCUGCAGAGCGGCGGAGUUGUCUUUUCUCCUUGCCAGGCUUGAAUCUUCCUUCCGCCUUGCUGUGCUGUGGGGAGCAGCUGGAGGCGAUUCUCUUGCAUGAGCGAGGGGUGCAGCCUGGUUCCACCCGGCCCUGAGCUCACGGAAGGGCUGGCUGCCCGCAGGGAAGGAGCUCUGCUUGAGGUCUGCUCCUGGGUGGGCUUUUGUGUGCCCUGUUCCUCAGGAAGGGGUAAGCAGUGCUGGGGUUAUUUGCUAGAUGGAGUGCGUUUGUGUUUCUUGGCUUCCUGAAAGCUGUGUCUGUCUUUUUCACUGCCGGCUGGAGAGACUCGGGGGAGAAAGAAGGCGUUGUGCUUGAUGGCACGGUUUCCUUGGGCAAAGGAUGCUUUGGCAGCAGAGGUUUGCUGUCAGGAGGCAUGAAAGCACUGAAGCCAAUGCUGCCGUGCCCUGGGCCCAGAGACAUCAUCUCCCAGCACGUCCCUGGCGGUGGAUGUGUGCAAGCUCUGUGUCUGCCGGUGGUUGCUGCAAAGGCUUUGUGGUCAGCUGUGCGUGGCUGUUUUGCUCUUGAGGGCGUGGGAACAGAGGGCAACACGCUGAUGGGAGUGAUGGUGUCCUGCUCAGCAAUGGAUGUGCUGGGUGGCAGAAGAGGAUUCUUGGCCGAGCGUGGAAAAUCUCUCUGCUCCUUCCUGAAGGACGCAAUCUUCCACUUGGAAAGGGCCUCCCAAGGAUCCCUGGUAUCCUGUGAGAGCUCUGAGCUGCCGCACCAAUUUGAAGCUGACUUCAUUUUUGGUCUUCCCCUUCAGCAGAAAAGCUCAGACAGCCGAGCCAAGCGAGAUGCUGGAUUUCCUUUGGCAUCAAGGAAAGCAUCGUGAGAUGUUCUGAUGCCCUCUCACAAUUCUUUCUCCCUCCGCCAGCACCAGAGCUGGCGUCCAAAGACGCAAUGACACUGCCACAGGCAUUGUGGAGAUUUGUAUGGGAUAGGCCCAUGGUAAGGCUUUAUUGACAGAGGGAGGGACAAUGAAGAUUGGAUGUCAGGGAGAAGGUCUUUCCAGAGACGGGGGUGAGAUGCUGGAAGCGGAUGCCCAGAGAGCUUGUGGACGCCGCGUCCGUGGCAGUGUUGAAGGCCAGGUUGGAUUGGGCACUCGGCAGCCUAGUCUAGGAUUAGAUAUGAUGCAGAUGGGAUUCAAGCAUCUGUUUUGCAGCCAGCUCGAGUGGAGCUCUUGGAGCUCAUGGGCGCCCCAUGCCCGCAUCAGCGUGGGUAGGGUGUGCCCUUCCUGCGCGGUGGGGCUUUGGUGUCCGGGGGCUGACGCUGAGGAGACUGUGUUUCUUCGUUUAUCGGUGGCAGAAAUCCAGCUCUGUCAGCAGAGGACUCCUGCGGCUGGCUGGCCUCAGCCUGAGAUGUUGAUGCUGCCAUCUCCUCAGGGUUCUUUCUGCCUGCUCUUCUUAGCCCUGCGCCUCAGAAGUCUGACUGAGUCGCAUGCCAGAAGUGGAAGCCGGGAUGGAGUGCCUUGCGAUGCCUGCGACGGGCUGGACUGAGCCCUUGAGGAAG
ensembl:lncRNA